AACGAACGCUGGCGGCAGGCCUAACACAUGCAAGUCGAACGGCCCUUCCGGGGUCAGCGGCGGACGGGUGUGUCACGCGUGGGAAUAUGCCGUUCUCUACCGAAUAGUCCUUUGUAACUGGGGGUAAUACCGGAUACGCCCCUUGGGGGCCAGAUUCAUCGGGGGAGUAUAAGCACGCGUUGGUUUAGCUAGUUGGCGGUGAAAUGGCCGACCAAGGCGACGAUCCUUAGCUGGUUAGAGAGGCUGCUCAGCCACACUGGGACUGAGACACGGUAGAAACACUUAGGGUGGGAAGCAGUGGAGAAUAUUGGGCAAUGGAGGCGAGGCUGAUCCAGCAAUAUCGCGUGAGUGAAGAAGGCGCUCGGGUUGUAAAGUCAUGUUGUUGGGAAAGAAAAGAAGCUGGUUAAUAUGCCGAGGUUCUGACGGUACCAAAAGAAGAAGCACCGGCUAACUUCGUG
rnacentral:rRNA from 1 species